rnacentral:rRNA from 1 species
UAGUAAAUAAGUAAGGGCGUAUAGUGAAUGCCUUGGCGUACGGAGCCGAUGAAGGACGCAGAAAGCUUGCGAUAGGCCUCGGGGAGUUGCAUAACAAAUUUUGAUCCGAGGAUUUCCGAAUGGGGAAACCCAGCAGGGAGAAAUCUCUGUUAUCUUUACCUGAAUAUAUAGGGCAAAGAGGGUAAGCGAGGGAACUGAAACAUCUUAGUACCUCGAUGAAAGGAAAACAAAAGUGAUUCCCUUAGUAGUGGUGAGCGAAAUGGGAAGAGCCUAAACCAUUUAUGUGUAGAAGCUGGCAGGCGUUGCAUAGAUGGGGUUGUAGGGAGAUUUAAUCCUGCGCUGCUGAGCAGGUAUGGAGUCAGAAAUGAAUUGAUUAGUCGAACACUCUUGAAAGGGUGGCCAAAGAGGGUGACAGCCCCGUAGGCGAAAAUCAAUUCACUCCUAUAAAUCUUUCCUGAGUACCGCGGGACACGUGGAAUCUUGCGGGAAGCUAGGAGGACCAUCUCCUAAGGCUAAAUACUCCGGCGACCGAUAGUGAACAAAGUACCGUGAGGGAAAGGUGAAAAGAACCCCGGAAGGGGAGUGAAAUAGAACCUGAAACUAUAUGCCUACAAUCGGUAGGAGGGCUAUGAAAUGGCAACAUUUCAGCCUGACUGCCUGCCUAUUGAAGAAUGAGCCAAGGAGUUAUGGGUAGUGGCAAGGUUAAGGGGUGAUACCCGGAGCCGUAGUGAAAGCGAGCCUGAAUAGGGCGUUAGUCGCUGUCCAUAGACCCGAAACCAGGUGGUCAAUCCAUGGUCAGGAUGAAACGAGCGUAAGAACUCGUGGAGGUCCGAACCGGUUGGGGGAAAAAACUCAUCGGAUGAACUGUGGAUAGCAGAGAAAUUCUAACCGAACCUGGAGAUAGCUGGUUCUCUCCGAAAUGCAUUUAGGUGCAGCGGUAGGUAAUUCGCAAGUGGGGGUAGAGCACUGGAUGAGCUAGGGAUCCUACCAGAUUUCCAAACUCAACCAAACUCCGAAUACCAUUUGUUUUUACCCUACCAGUGAGUCGGCGGGUACUAAGAUCCGUCGUCGAGAGGGGAACAACCCAGAUCAUCUGCUAAGGUCCCUAAAAUAGACUAAGUGUUCAGAAAGGAUGUGGAAUUGCUUAGACAGCUAGGAGGUUAGCUCAGAAGCAGCUACCCUUCAAAGAGUGCGUAACAGCUCACUAGUCGAGCGGUUCUGCGCCGAAAAUGUAACGGGACUAAGUCUAUUACCGAAGCAGUGGGCUUAAGAUGUCUUCGGACGUCUUGAGCGGUAGGAGAGCGUUCCUAUUGCAGAGAAGGUAUACCGUAAGGAGUACUGGAGCGAUAGGAAGUGAGAAUCUUGGCUUAAGUAACGAAAAACAGGGUGAGAAUCCCUGUCGUCGUAAAUCUAAGGUUUCCUGGGGAAGGUUUGUCCGCCCAGGGUUAGUCGGUCCUAAGCCGAGGCCGAAAGGCGUAGGCGAUGGACAACAGGUUAAUAUUCCUGUACCAUGUAUCUUCCGCUAUCAGGAUGGGGUGGUGGAGAAGGAUAGGUUAAGCGCGGUUUUGGUUGUCUGCGUCCAAGCUCGUAGGAGGCAUCCGGAGGUAAAUCCCUGGAUGUAUUAAACUCUGAGAAGCGAUGGGGAGCCGCAAGGCGAAGUAGCUGAUUCCAUACUCACAAGAAAAACCUCUAACGAGGAAGAUAUGUGUCCGUACCGCAAUCCAACACAGGUAGAUGAGGAGAAUGCUCCUAAGACGUACGAAAGAACCCUCUUUAAGGAACUCGGCAAAAUUGCCCCGUAACUUCGGGAGAAGGGGUGCCUGGGAAGGUGAAGGUAAAUGCUUACCUUUGCGAUUCUGGGCCUCAGUAAAUAGGUUCAAGCGACUGUUUAACAAAAACACAGGUCUCUGCUAAGUCGUAAAGACGAUGUAUAGGGGCCGACGCUUGCCCAGUGCUGGAAGGUUACAGGGAGGGGUUAGCAGAUUUCGGUCUGCGAAGCUCUGAACUUAAGCCCCAGUGAACGGCGGCCGUAACUAUAACGGUUUUGAUAGUUAGCUACUUGACUAGGGCUGUUAUAAAAUUUGGCUAUAUGCUGGAACAUCUGGUUAAAUUUCAUAUUACCGAGGAGGUGAAAACAUAUGAAUACAGACAAUCAGCAGGAAAGACUACAGAUUACUGAAGAGUUUAAGUGGUUUCUGGCAGGAUUAAUUGAGGGAGAAGGAAGUCUAUGUAUAUCUCUCAAACAACAUCCUUCAGCAAGAUUUGGUUAUUAUAUUGAUCCGGAAUUUUUUAUCUAUCAACACAAAUCAGCAAGGGAACUACUUGAGAGAGCAAAAGAGUUUUUUGGGACAGGUCGUAUUUUUCCUAAGCCUGGAAAUGAAGAUGUGCUUGUUUUUAGAAUUUCAGCAAGACGAAGCAUAUUGGAAAAAGUUAUUCCUUUCUUCGAAAAAUACAUGAAAUAUAGCUCAAAAACUAAAAAGGAAAAUUUCCGUGUAUUUAAGGAAGUGACCUUAGCUCUCGAAAACGGAGAACAUAAAACGUUACAAGGUACCUUACGCAUAGUGGAACUGGUUUAUUCUACAAAUCAUGCCGGCAAACAGCGUAAGCGUAGCAAAGAAGAAGUAAUCGGUAGAAUCCUCAGAGACUAUACGCCAAACUCUGAAUCUGAUUCAGAGAAGAUAUAGUCCGAUCUUUAUGGAGACAUAAAGUUAACACAAAUACCUAAGGUAGCGAAAUACCUUGUCGGGUAAGUUCCGACGCGCAUGAAAAGCGUAACGACUUGAACGCUGUCUCAAAGAGGGAUUCGGUGAAAUAGCAGUGCCCGUGCAGAUGCGGGCUACUUGCAGCAGGACGGAAAGACCCCGUAGAGCUUUACUAUAACCUGAUAUUGAAUUUUGGCAUAUUGUGUAUAGGAUAGGUGGGAGACUUUGAACCCGGAACGCCAGUUUCGGGGGAGUCAUCCUUGGAAUACCACCCUUAAUAUGCUGAGGUUCUAACUCUAUACCCUGAAUCGGGUAGGAGGACAAUGUCAGGCGGGUAGUUUGACUGGGGCGGUCGCCUCCUAAAGAGUAACGGAGGCGCCCAAAGGUUCCCUCAGGCUGGUUGGAAAUCAGCCAUCGAGUGCAAAGGCAUAAGGGAGCUUGACUGCAUAGACUGACAGGUCGAACAGGCACGAAAGUGGGG